rnacentral:lncRNA from 1 species
UGCCCAACUAAAAUUGUAAAUCUCAUAAAAAUUAAUAAUAAUAAUUUAAUAUUAUAUUAUGAGUUGAGCUAGAAUACUACCAAUAGCAAACGGGCUCCGUUGCCACCCAUUUGUUUUCAAUGAUAGAGCCUCCGAAUCGACGAUCGGCACCGUUAAACAUGAUCUAUACUACUUGAAAUGUUUAGAAAUCAAAUUUCAAAUCUUUUCGAAAUCAUUUGCCUAAUGAUUAAAGGGUUUCAAAAUUUAUUAUUUUAAUGGUCGAUAUGAGGCGUUUUCUCGUUUAAUGGCGUAAAGAUAUCCAAAUCAAUUGAAUUUUUGUUAAAAUUUUUUUAAAACUAUUUAAAGUAAGAUCUAUACUCUUGAUCUUGAUUACAAGACUCCUACCAUCAUUUUUUAAAGAAUAUUUAUUUUCAACCGUUAAUUUUUGUCUACUCGAUGGAUAAGAGAAUAAUAUUGAAAAUGUAGAAAAAUUGAUUUCUAAACACUUCAAGUGGUAUAGAUCAUGUUUAACGGUGCCGAUCGUCGAUUCGGAGGCUCCAUUAUCGAAAACAAAUGGGUGACAACGGAGCCGAUUUUGCUAUCGAUAAUAUUCUAGCUCAACUCAUUAUAUUAUUAUUAUUAUUAUUAUUAUUAUUAUUAUUAUUAGAUUUAUUAUUGUUGAUAAUGUGACCAAUGCCUCUUUCAUCGAAGUGACAUAACCGCGAGAUGAAAGAGUAAAUGAGCGAGCAGCAAGCGUUGAUCAUCUUAUUAUUAGAGCUGCUAUCCGUGCACCCUACGGGCCCGUUUGUUUUAGUGUAAGUGGAGUGAUGGAACUCAAGUUCCAUCACUUUCGUUAUUUGUUUUGGUGUAAGUGAAAAAUAUAAUGUAACUCAAGUUACGUUAGAGCUCCACUUCACCUACUCUCGACUUCCGGCUCUACAGUACCGAACUCGACUUCCACCACACUCAACCUUCUCUAAACAAUUUAUUAAACAGUAAAAUCUAAACUCUACUUUCUUUAUAAUGGGUUAGAAUUACUUUAUUUAUAAUAAAUUAAGAUUAUCUUUAAAUAAUAAUAAAAAAUUUAAUUAUAUAAUAGGUUAAAUUUUAUAGUGAUAAAUUUAUUACUAUAUUUAGGAGAUAAUGGGAUCCACUUACUUACAUCAAAACAAACAACGGAACUUAAAAAACUAAUUUUACCAGCACCAAGUUACAUCAAAACAAACAGCAGAAGUGAUUGAAUUUAACUUUCAGUGGUACGAGUUACGUCAAAACAAACAACAGAAAAAUAAUCACACUU